AAACAUUUCUUUAAGAAAAUAGUUUAAAGUAAACCCUGCUCAAUGUUUAAAUAAAUAGCCGCAGUUUACUGUGCUAAGGUAGCAUAAUCACUUGUUUCUUAAAUAGAAAAUAGAAUGAAAGGGCCAACGAUUUAAAACUGUUUCCAAUUAAACAAUAAAAUUACAAUUUAUGUAAAAACUCAUAAAUUAAACAGUAAGACGACAAGACCCUGAUAAACUUACCAAUUAGUUGGGGCGACAAAAUAAAAAAACCUUAGUACAAAACCAAAACAAUUCUAUUACAAUAAACAUUGACUAGUUACUACAGGGAUAACAGCGUUAUAUCUUUUUAGAGCUCUCAUCCAAAAAGAAGCUUACGACCUCGAUGUUGA
rnacentral:rRNA from 1 species